AUCAGGAUUAUAAUGAUUUUCCUGCUCCUGUCCCUCAAAUAUCUCUCGUAAUGUAAUUUCCCUCAGGAUUUUUUUAAUAGUCCGUAUUUACUAAUACAAAAAUAUUCACCACAACUUACAGGCUAAAGAGGUAGGUGGAUCAGUAUCAUCUUGGAAGAGAAUUGAGACAUUGAUCAAGAGAAAAAGACUCUGAGAGGCUGACUUUACAAAACC
rnacentral:lncRNA from 1 species